AAGUCGUAACAAGGUUUCCGUAGGUGAACCUGCGGAAGGAUCAUUACAAAAACAAAAUCCAAACCACACCAAAUGUGCUCUAUAAAUGCGAAAAGCUGUCUUUGUGUGUGUGUGUUGUUGUAUGUAUGUUGUGUGAGAAGAAAAAAUUUAUUUUCUCUUUUCAUAUACACACACACACACACACACACACACACACACAAUCCUUCUUUUCUGCAUUGUCUUUGUUUAUCAAUUUUUUCAUUAACUCCUUGUUUAACCAACAACGGAUUACAAUGUUAAAACUUGAAACAAAAAAACAAAACAAAAUGACAACUUUUAACGGUGGAUCUCUUGGCUCGU
rnacentral:misc_RNA from 1 species